rnacentral:rRNA from 2 species
AGAGUUUGAUCCUGGCUCAGGACGAACGCUGGCGGCGUGCCUAAUACAUGCAAGUAGAACGCUGAAGAGAGGAGCUUGCUCUUCUUGGAUGAGUUGCGAACGGGUGAGUAACGCGUAGGUAACCUGCCUGGUAGCGGGGGAUAACUAUUGGAAACGAUAGCUAAUACCGCAUAAAAUUGAUUAUUGCAUGAUAAUUAAUUGAAAGAUGCAAUUGCAUCACUACCAGAUGGACCUGCGUUGUAUUAGCUAGUUGGUGAGGUAACGGCUCACCAAGGCGACGAUACAUAGCCGACCUGAGAGGGUGAUCGGCCACACUGGGACUGAGACACGGCCCAGACUCCUACGGGAGGCAGCAGUAGGGAAUCUUCGGCAAUGGGGGGAACCCUGACCGAGCAACGCCGCGUGAGUGAAGAAGGUUUUCGGAUCGUAAAGCUCUGUUGUAAGAGAAGAACGGGUGUGAGAGUGGAAAGUUCACACUGUGACGGUAUCUUACCAGAAAGGGACGGCUAACUACGUGCCAGCAGCCGCGGUAAUACGUAGGUCCCGAGCGUUGUCCGGAUUUAUUGGGCGUAAAGCGAGCGCAGGCGGUUAGAUAAGUCUGAAGUUAAAGGCUGUGGCUUAACCAUAGUAUGCUUUGGAAACUGUUUAACUUGAGUGCAGAAGGGGAGAGUGGAAUUCCAUGUGUAGCGGUGAAAUGCGUAGAUAUAUGGAGGAACACCGGUGGCGAAAGCGGCUCUCUGGUCUGUAACUGACGCUGAGGCUCGAAAGCGUGGGGAGCAAACAGGAUUAGAUACCCUGGUAGUCCACGCCGUAAACGAUGAGUGCUAGGUGUUAGGCCCUUUCCGGGGCUUAGUGCCGCAGCUAACGCAUUAAGCACUCCGCCUGGGGAGUACGACCGCAAGGUUGAAACUCAAAGGAAUUGACGGGGGCCCG